rnacentral:lncRNA from 1 species
UUUUUUUUUUUUUUUUUAAGAAUACAAACUGAUUUAGGGAGUAUUUCACUUUCUGCUCGUUUUUCUCAAGACUCGAAGAAACAGAAACUGAUUAAAAUCACCUUACAACAAGUCAAACAACUGUUAAUACAGACCAGAACAAUUUUUCAGAGUAAGAAGUCCAGUGAAACACUUCAGCUGAAAAAUAUCUACUAAGGACUUUUUAGACACCAGGCAGUGCUGUCAAUCGUUUGCAGAAAGUAAAACAUGGCCCACGGAAUGAACUAAAAGGGCAAAGACUGACUGGAAAUCAGCAGCAAACAGCAGCUAUUCCCUGGGUGGGGAUGCGAACAGGACAUGUCCCAACAUGUGAGAGACUCAAAAGUUUAAUACAAUAAACACACCUAUCCCCCAAACAAAAACGUUAGAGUAAAGGUACAUGAAUGAUGGUGCAGGAAACGGCAAAAGCCGUCUCAGAAGAGGGUUGAGGAGUUCCCGUCAUGGCGCAGCAGAAACGAAUCUGAUUAGGAACCAUGAGGUUACAGGUUGGAUCCCUGGCCUUACUCAGUGGGUUAAGGAUCUGGCGUUGCCAUGAGCUGUGGUGUAGUUGAAUCCUUGGCACAGAAACUUCCACAUACUGUGAGCACAGCGCCCCCGCCCCGCCCCCCAAAAAAGAAGACUGCCUUCAACUCCAAGGACGGCCAGUUGUGUGACCUUGGGCCAGGUACUCAGCGCCCACGACGUGCUGAGCCAACAGCAAACAGCGAACGGUGCAAUCAGGACCCCUAUUCCUACCAGGCCCUGAUCCUACCACUGCCAGCGCCUCCAGAUUGCCUUCAGUGCCAGGAGUAGCCUGGCCAGCAGCAGAGUGAUAACUGAAAUCCAGGGGCAGACUCCUUCCAUUCUUGUCACCCCCCACCCCUUAAAGUGACUUAAACUGACUAGAGUGACACCAACUGACCAGAAGCCCAACACUCAUGUCCUAAGAAGCCAGAUCUGGCCAAGGGCUCAAGUCCAAAGGCUCAUUCUGGAACCUCCCCACCCUAGUGUUUAGUCUGUAUUACAAAAUGCUGGUAUUCAGCCAUUUUUGACCUAGGAGAACUGCAAUUUCAUUUGAUUCAAUCUACUGGGAGGUGGUUGCCUAUCUUUAUUAAGGACCCACUAGACAUGCACUCAUUCAACAUAGUGGAGCCACAGCCUGCAGGUCAGGGACAGUGUCACAGGGGGACAGUACCCACAGCUCUGAGCAGGGGACAGAUCCUUCGUCUUUCCUCCCUCCGAGGAUAAGGAACAGAAUUUAGCAGGCAUCAUGAGGGUAACCAGCUCACCCUGCUCAAGGUCUCUGCCCCCAGGUCCCCAUGCAACCUGACACUGACCGUGGUGCGCAGGCUGGGACGGCGGCUGCACGGGAAGAAGGCCAGGGCACCCGGGCAGUUUCGUCAAUGAGGGGCUGUCACAACCACCAGGAUGUAGACAAAGAACAACAAGGCUGACCGGAAUGCCAAGGAGCAGCCCUCCGGUGGCGGUCGCCAAGACUCCGCUGACAUGCGCAGGUUUAGCAAGCAUCUUUCUAAAAACAGACCACGGCUCAGAAAGUUCCAGCGUCUUUCAUUUUCAAUAACCCGGACCAAAAAACCCUUCCAGCUUCUCACCCAAACCCAGACCUCUUCAGUCACCACGGUGGGACCUGAUACCUAGAGGGGCAGGAGUGAGGUGGAGCUGGCUGGGGAUGCCGAUUCUGCCGCCAAGCAGCCAGGCGCCCUUGGGCAAGUCACUAACCCUUUCCUCACCUGCUCUCGAGGACACAGACCUCCUCGGGCUCGGGUGGAGAGGAUACGAGGUGGUGACCGCGAAUCCAGCUGAUAUGGGGGAGGGGGGCAGUGGCCCUGCGUCCUGGAGUCCAGGGGGAGAGUCUGCUGUCUCAGGGCACCUCCACUUCCUGUUCCUCGAGACCAAGGCAGAGGCCUCAGAUCCCAGGAUGAGCAGAGCUCCGCACGCCCUGCGGCGAAGGAGCUUUCGAGACAGGAGCUGUCUAGAGGAGGAUACACGAGGACGAGCAAGGACAGAACAAGGACAGCACCAUCAGAACCUCUCAGAGAGCAAAGCACCUGAAGCGGCCGGGCGUGGCCACUGCUGUCUUGGGUGCACAGCCCCAGGCCCGCACACUGACCAAGCUGUGCUCAGCUGAGAAGCCAGGGACAGAUAAGAAACAAAGGCACAGGUGAGAGAGAAAUUCAAGAAUAGCUCCUUCAGUCGGGAGUUCCCUGGUGGUCUAGUGACUGGGAUUCAGGUUAGGAUUUGGCACUGUCACCACUGCAGCCUGGGCUCAAUCCCUGGUCUGGGAACUGAGAACCCAAAGCUGCUGCAUGCUGUGGCCAAAAAAAAAAAAGAGUAGCUCCUUCAGUGAUCACAGUGCCUUAAACCAGACUUUUCACCAGGAGUGUGCAGUGGAUACCAGCCCCAAAGUGCAUGCGGGAAGCCUGUCCACGUGAAAUCAGGUACAACCUUCCAGGGCCAAAGCCUCAUAAUGGAGAAGACUUGAGCAGCAGCAUCACAGGUGAGCAAGCCAGACCUGACCUGUCUACCUGUCACGGUAGCGACUGAGAAGGGAAGACGGUGCUUGGUUCCACCAGGAAAAGCUCGAUUCCAAUGGGAGGCUGCUUGCUAGUCCCCAACCCCAGCAGAAAGGAUAUGUGCAAAAGCAUCUUAUAUAACCCUAAUUUUUUUUAACCUUUUUUGACCUCGCCGACGGCAUGCGGAAAUUCCCCGAACCACGGACCAAACCCUUGCCACAGGGGCAACCCAAGCCGCUGCAGUGACAAUGCCAGAUCCUUAACCUGCUGCACCACAAAGGGACUCCAUAACCCUAACUUUUUAACUAAAGCUAUUUCACUUGGUAGCCAUAAUAAGUCCUCUGUCUGAAUCCUAUGGAAACCUCGGGGACAGUACACCCAAAUAAUGCUAAACAGCAAUGACUUCAGAGCAGAUCCUAACUCAGCAGGGUCCUGCUGAGCUCAGUGCUAGAAGAGGAAGCUGUGCAGAGGUUUAAGCAGUGGAUGGAGAAGUUCAGGGUCGGGUCAGUGGAAAUGACUGCUCACAAUCUCCCGGGUGGUAAGAGCUUCGCAGCCCGAAAACACUGGGUCAGAAUCACCAGCUGCAGGCAAGAGAGGCCACAACCACCUGCCUUCCAGGCUGCCUGGGAGAUGAAAUGAAACACCACCUACCUAUCAACCAUGCACGUUAAUAAUAAAAUAAUCACUCCGGCUGCACCCGCAAAGUACCAGGCACCGUCUACACUUUCCACACACAAACUCCGUCCUCACAAUAACUCCCAUCAGGCAGGUGGCUGAUGGGUUGCUGCCUUGGAAGAAACCAGACUACUGGACUGGAAAUCUCCCACUGGAAAGCUACAGGCAAAGGCUCCUCUCACAGGUUCCCAGAGCUGUCAGAAAUCCGAGGGGCGGGAACAGGAGGCGGCGGGGAGGGGGAGGCGGGCGGCCCACUGGCAUUGCCGCCCCCGGCACUGAUGCCCACCUGCCUCCUCCGUUUAAUGCUAAGACUCCUGUUCUGAUAGGUCUGACUGCAGGUGAGCACCCAGGGAGUGGAUGACCAGAGAUGCCGGCGUCCCGAGCACCAGCUUUGAGGGGAGGCAGGCCUCGGGGUCCCUGCCUGUGUGAUGAGGAUGCCAUGAGGGCCGGCCUAGUGGGGCCACUCCAGGUAUUCUCUGUAGUUGCAAAACAAGCUCCUGGUACUGUUACAGCUGCCACGCAGCCCAUCUUCCCUGGGCAGGCUGGGUGUCUUGGGGACUGGUCUGCUCAGAGCCUCAGGCAUGCAGGCUGAGCAGGUGCCACCCGCAGAUACAGGCUGGAUCACUGGCUAACCAGACUGAAAUCCGCGUUCAGUCAUUAAUAGGAUAUCAAGGUUUUGCAGAUGCCACUAUCUAGGAUUUAAACUGCCCAGAAAUAGUCACCGGGUCAGUGAUAAAGCAUCCUCUCCGAGAGCCCGGGAAGGGCAGCUCUGGGGGCAGAGGCCUCCCCCUCAGCCCAGGGCUGGUAAAUCACGACAGCGCACUCUGCCUUCCCAGCUUUAUCUUCCUCACCCACCCCUUCCUUCCCAUCCCCACAGCCACUCAGCGGCCAGGACCCUGAGAACCUCCAGGCCGAUGCUCAUGAAUGCCGCCCUCCCAGGCCCUGCACACCACUCGCUGCCAGAUGACUCUUCCUAAAAUACCACUGCUCUGCCAGCCUCCUCAGAUUUCUACCUGCCCUGUCAAAAAUCUAACUGGCUCCACACUGUCCCAGAUCAAAUGCAAACUCCUUAGCUUAGCAGCUCGGGCACUCCACCACUCACUCCCGAGACCAAGGCUCCCCCACUGGCCGUCCACUCUGCGACUGGUCCCCAAACUGACAAGGCUGACGGUACUCCUGACCUUGGCUCUUGGUGCAGCCCCUUGCGCCCACCCCAUGCUCUCUGCCUGGGCAGGUCUCCCUGGGCUUCGCACUCAGCCCCCACCAAGGCUGCCGGUGUGGAGGUGGACUGCGAGCCGGGCCUGCAGGGACGGGCAGACACAGGGCCCUUGUUAAGUCUUUCCCUUUACUACUUCCUUCCCGCUGCGCUUAACCUUCUGGAUGCAUCUUGCCUCCCCUUCCAGAUUAGAGGACAGGAGUUGUGGCUUCCAUUUGUGUCUUUGCUCUGUAGGAUGCAGAACAAGACAAAUGAUAAUCUCAGCUACCACUUACUGUGUGCCCCGCACUGGGUUAGGUACAUGACAAUUCUCACUGCUUUCUCCC